rfam:Oryza brachyantha chromosome 8, whole genome shotgun sequence.
AAUAACCUCAUUUUUUGUUUUUCCGUGUCCAACGUUUGACCAUUCGUCUUAUUUAAAUUUUUUUGCGAUUAAUAUUUUUAUUAUUACUAGAUGAUAAAAUAUGAAUAGUAUUUUAUAUGUGACUAAUUUUCUAAAGUUUUUUUUACAAAUCUUUCAAAUAAAACGAAUGAUCAAAACGUUGGAUACGGAAAA